ACAUUGAAAGACCAGUUCCCAUACAAUCACCAAAGUUAAGCAACAUCAAGCCUGGUCAAUACCUAGAUGGAUGACCAUUUGGGAACACCAGGUGCUGUAAG